GGGUGAGUAACGCGUAGGUAACCUACCUCAUAGCGGGGGAUAACUAUUGGAAACGAUAGCUAAUACCGGAUAAGAGAGACUAACGCAUGUUAGUAAUUUAAAAGGGGCAAUUGCUCCACUAUGAGAUGGACCUGCGUUGUAUUAGCUAGUUGGUGAGGUAAAGGCUCACCAAGGCGACGAUACAUAGCCGACCUGAGAGGGUGAUCGGCCACACUGGGACUGAGACACGGCCCAG
rnacentral:rRNA from 1 species